AAAGCAAUGUAGAGAGGCUUCAAGCUGUAAUUAUACUUAACUACUUUUUAAAAGCUCAGUUAACUGCCAGAAAAAAAUUCAUAUACAUUGGAGGCAGGCUUAUGUGGUUUCACUGAGAGUUUCCUCUCACCACUGCCAUUCAGAUGUCCUAGUAUCAAGCCCAAGUCUGAUCUGCAGGGUGAACACUUACUUGUUUAAUGCCUUUUGGCAGCCUGCUGAGACAGAGCACUGUACGCUACUUGCAGGAGGUAGCAUGUGAGAAGUAGUGUGGGGAAGAUGGAGGUUCAGUUCUUACUUUUGCUUUGCAUCAUAUUCAAAUUACAAACUUGUCAGAGUGAAAGACUUUGCUUUGGUGUAUGCAUCUCUUUUUGAACAACCCUUUUGCUUUUGUUUUUCUCUUUCUCUUUUCCAGCUUCUUUUUCCCUUGUUUUUUCUUCAUUCUUGACCUCUGUCAGGUUUUCAUCCCUCUCCUCACCAUGCUCUGUUCCUCCUUGGCUGGAAAUAUUCGCAGGGUUAAAAAAAACAUUUUCCACUUCUGUGUAGUUCAGAAUCUGCUUAACCCACCUCUGCCUACCUGCAUGACUGGAAGGAUGACGGACCCAGAUGCUGGGCCUCCAGGUACUUCUUCUGCGUAAGCUGCAGAGCUAUCCAAAGACUUAGACCUUCAGCAGUGACUUAUGUGCCAGGGCUGAUUUAAUAAUAUUUGAUGUCUGUCUUAUGCCAAGGCCAGAACAGUUGUCUCAUACCUUACCAGGACCGCAUGUGGGUUCACAUACUAUCCUUCCAGAGUUGCACAUUUCUCAGGUCAUCACAGAGAAGAAUUAGGCCCCAGUGUCCCUAAGCUGAGGCCUGGUAUGAUGCUCUACGUGGUAGAUGGCAGUCUUAAAAAAAAGAAACAAAAAAACAGAACAGAUGCUCAGCACUGCAUCAUCUCCCUAGCUUGUGGGUGUGAUAUCUUUCUUAGGACCUCCAUACUUCUGCUCUUACUUGGAUGCUUCUGUUGAGACCUUUCAGUUAGCAAGACUGAGAUUUUAGCAGGCACAGCUAAGAGCUGGCAGCAGUGGGGAGGAAAAAUAGUGAGAAAGAGCGUGGCAGGCUGUCUUUGGGCCUCCUUUCCUGGGAUGUCUCAAGGCUUCCACCUAGCUUUAGCCAGAGGAGAAGGCAGGCCAAGUUGAAGGCAGCCCAGCCUUUCAGCAAUGUGAACCUCAGAGCACUACACGUCGCCUCCGUGUUGUUUUCUCUUCUUGCAUCCUCAGCUGUCCCUAUGCCAGGGAGGAUGAAGAGACUCUCAAAAUGCAGAUGUAUGUUUGCUUCUACAGUGCUUAAAACAUUAGCCUCUCAUUUCCUCAUCCAGAAAUGAGGUUGCUCCAGCUCUUGACAAGGUAAAAUCAGGCUCAGGUUAUGUGAGGACAUGGAGUGAAGUUUGAAAAAACAUUGUCUAUGAUUUCAUAGUGGCUGACAAACAGAAAUGUAAUCCUCGCUGAAGUGAGAUAUGCACAAGCUCCAGUGUCCAAAAAUAUGCAUGCAGUUGCAUUUGUGCGUCUGAACAGGUGAUCAUUAAAAGCCUGUGUUUACGCUGCACCUCCAGCUGACAGUUUUCAAAGCGAUUGCAUUUUUGAGUAUGCAAAAUAUGCAGUGUCCAAAUGCAGAAAUCUCACAUGACCAAUUUUAGAGUGAAGAAAUGGGCGGGAAGAUGGUCACCACAUCCUGGAAAAAAUAGGUUCUUUGAAGGUAUCUGUAACAUAGAAUUUGAAAACCAGGGCAUCCAAAAUCGGUAGCCAGAUCAAAACAAGCUGAGGGCUCAUCUUCUGCCGAGAUGCCCUGAAGCAGACAGGAUAAAACAACAGCAGCUAGCUGCCUCACAAGACAUUCACCUGCUUGCUUACCUCUUCCAUGUGCUCAGGUGUGGCAGUGGUUCAUGCCAUUACAGGAAGGCUUGAGGAACAGUUACAACAGGAGCCUCAGAUUGCAAAGGCUCCACUCUAGCCUGCCUUACCAACGGCUGGCUAUUGCAACCCAUUGCUGAAUCUGGGCAGAAGACAUGCUGUGCAGAGCUCAUAAAUGGUGUCACAUCCACGCUUGUGUACACUGUGCAGGAUGCCUUCCACCCUAUUGUCUCUGUCCUCCUACUUUGAAAGAACGUCAAAAAAUUAGAGGUCUUGGUGUGACCUUUCCUUCAGUUUUCGUAUAUUGCAGUGGGCAGUACCUUAGUGACUGUGGUGCAACAGUGGAUUUACCUUCUGAGGUUUUUACCUUCCUGAAUCCACAUCAAACUGGAUAGAAAUGUGUGACAGGAAUGAUAUGAUCUAUUUCAUAAAGCUUUCACAGCUGCUUGGUCACUGCAUAUGUGAAGCUCAUGGGUCCAUUCAUGUGGCUGGGGAGACCACCAGCAACAAGGGUAGAUGAUGCCAAAGGGCAUGCCUGGCCCAGUAGACCACACAAAUGCUCUGUAGAUGGGCUUCAGGGGGCCCCCCCAGCACAGACAUCUUAUCUUGAGACACAGAGGAGCAAAGGGAGCCUUUUCCUAGGCAGUAGGCAGGGCAUGAGAAGAAGACUUGGCUUUGUUUGCCAUAUAUGGACACGUGUGGCCCAGGUCAUCACUAUGUGCUGGGACAGUUUAAAUAGCUACAACAGUAUCUGAAAAAAAGAGGUGGCACUGGGUCACCCACCAGCCUCCCUGUGAAAUCAGUCCAAAUUUCAGCCUUUGACUCAUGGAGGCUUUCAAGUUACUUGACUGUGCCACCUGCACUCACACCAUGAUCUGCUUAUGUGCAUCUCAGCUGUUGAAAUUUUAGACUGCUUUGGAACCUUCCUUUCCAAAAAAAGGAAGAAAGAGAGACCUUUUUUCUCCAGUAUGAAUCUCAUCUUCUUCAUAUAAAUGCUGUAUUCCUCCACAGGUCUGAGGAUAAGCUAGAGUUGGUGCACAAAAGCAAGGAUCUUCUGCCUUUUGUUUCUGCAGGUCAGAAUGAACCAUACACAUAACAGAAAAUAUUCCUAAUAGGAAAGAUCUGAAGUGGAAGAAUAUAGGGUCUUUUGCCUCUGAGUUGCCAGUUCAAGUCUAUUCCCCAGCAGCAACAGCUGAAAGGAUAUACUGAGGCCUCAGUCUCUUAAUGUUGUGCUUUGCUGCUGACCACAGGGAGGAGAGGCUUCCCCAGGAUCAUGAGCAGAUUUUACAUGCGGACUGAUUUUGCUGCAGGGACCAAGAUCCCACCAGCUUUGCUCCAGAUCUCCUGACAGAAAUCAGGCCCAUGGUCACACGGAGGGAGGAACCGGGCUCUACUGGCAGCAGCAGGAGGAAAUGCCUGAGGCAGAGCCACAGACGAUAAAACCAGAUCUGCUGCCUUCCUGCUGUGCUCUUCCCUGCAGACCCCCCCUGUGCACACGGAGAUGAGCACCACACCAUUUUGAUGUAUCCCUUCAGAGCAGCUCUGCUGCAGGGGAGUACGUACACAGAGGAGCAUGCAGAAGGUUUAUUGGACUGGAGCUUCCUGUGCUGUUUUUUACAAGAGAGAACACAUAGGUCUUUCUUUCUUUCUUUCUUUCUUUCUUUUCUUUUCAGUUGCCCAGGGCAGUGUGAAUGCUUUAAAAGGUCUAUUUGCAAACAAAUAAAAGAGGAGAAGAGUAAGGCUGCCUGAGCUCUCUCAGACAUGCAAUUUAAUUUGUGUGUGUGCCCGCGCCUAUUUACAGAAUGACAUUCCCUGAGGGUUACAUGCUCUGGCCCUGAUUCUGCCAGUCACCGUGGUGUGUACAAGAUUUGUACUGCAAGAUCAAUUACCAAAGCAGCCAAAAUAGAAGAUUAAAACUCUGAGGGCACCCACAUCUGAGCUGUUACACAUCCAGUAUAAAAAAUGACUCAUGAUUCCAAUAUCAGUAAAGCACAUGGGAAUAUUUUCAGUGUUCAAUGAUCUUUGCAUCAGUCUUACUCACUAAAGGACAGUUAGUGCAUGUUGAAAACAAAGCUGGUGCUUCCAAAAGGAGAUUUGGCCUUAAUUUCAUUGAUCGACUCCUAGCCUUGUGUUUUUAUGAAUGGAGUAGGAGGCAAAGGCUACUGAACUGCAUUCUGAAGUUUUUUCUUGUACCUCUUCUUUUAUCUUGGCUGUCUCACAUUAUUCUGGCUGCUGUAUGGAAUGAAAACUAGCUGAGGUACAUUGCCAUGGGCUGAAAGGUGCCAAGCACUCUAACACAUGCUCAGGGCUCUCAUUGCUGCAGUCCUGAUGAGACACAAUACAAAACCGUCCAAACCCUAUAAAAACAGCUCAAUCCCCAUACUCUUUUUACAUGAAUUAAACCCAAAAGCCUACUAAGGUCUUAACAUGGUACCUCAAACCUUCAGAAGUAAAACAGUAUUUGAUGGGAUGUGGCCCUCUCCAAAGAUGGAUAAGAAAAAUGUUAUUCUGGUGUCUUUGCCUAUUUGGUUGUAGAAUUAAAAAUUAAUCAGCCUUGGAGGAGCACAUCUCUAGAUUAUGCAUGAGCCCUGAGGUCAACUCUGAGAUUCUGGCUCGCAUCCACCCAAGAGUUAGCUUUCCUUAUCACCCAGGGUCUGUCUUUCUGGGACCCUCAGGACUGACAUGCUAGCAAGAGAGCUUGAGCUGAAUACAAGAGGGCCAGAUGCAGGCCUUACACCACUUAGCUGCUGUCAUUAAGAGCCAAGAGCACCAGCCACUGCUCUGUGUUUUGGAGAUCACCUGUGGAAGGCAGUGCCUUCUCCCUGCUCCUAUAUCUGCGUGAUAUUUUCUUAGUGACAACCAUCAGAGAAAGUGGCUGCCUCCCAGGCAUCCAUUUGAAAUCACUUUUCAUAGUAUUGCAGGAGUCUCGCAGUGAAAAACCCAAAUCCUGCCUUAUAUGUGUAAUAUGAAAGAGACAGGAGGAAUGCUGAAGGGGAACAGUACAAAAAAUGCUCUUGCAGAAUGAAACCCACAUUUCUCCGGUACCUUUGAGUCCCUUUGUAUAUACACCAGAUGCCAAGAUAAAAUUCUCAGUGUGCAGUGCACAGAAGGUCACUUCUUGGGAAAAUGUCUUACAAAAUGCCAUCAUGGGUCAUUCUUUGUGCUUCAGAGAAUGGAAUUAGCAGGUGAAUGGAGAACUUCAGGCUCCAGCUACUACUGACAUGGAUAGGAAUAAGCACCCACUAAAUACAGGGAUUAUGAAAGAUCACUGUGAAACAUAUUUUGGAGAAAGCACAGCAACUUCCUCCUGCCAGUAUGAGAUGUAUCCACUUGUAAUUUUUUACAGUCUGCUUCCUCAUGCUUUGUAACAACCUUGCUCUCUUCCUAAUUUCAUCUGGCUGUUUUACUUGUUUGGCACAGUUAGAUUUGUCAGCUGUGAGAAGCAACCACCUCUUGAAGGUAGGGAACAGUCCUGGUAGAAACUGAGGUAGAAAUUUUAACAGCAAUAAAAUGCCAGGGCUUUUAGACAAGCCAGCACAAGGAAUGCUCAGAUAAUUCUACAUUAAUUUCCUGGCAGCUCACCAGAAAUCAUCUUUUAUUUUUGAUAACAAAACAUUAUGGGCUUUAUUUCCUUUGGGUAUACAGUGCUCAGCUGUCCUUAUCAGCUGGCAUGGAUCUACUGAUUUGGAUAGAACUGUAUCAUGCUUCAGAAACUAAGGAUUGUUACCUGAAAAUGAAAGGAAAGUGUGUUUUAUAAUUCAUAUGUUAAUAUUAUGUUUAAUUGCUGUUUCCUUUGUUACCACUAGAAAAAAGGGGACAAAGAUUGACAAAAAAGUUACAAGUGCAUAACUGAAAAUCCCUUUUUUAUGGAUAUCUGUAUCAGAAAUGAUACGUCAUACCUAGUAGGACCUGACUUUGAUGUAACUCACAGCAAUGUUAAACAAAAAGAACUGCAAUAAAUGCCCAGAAUGUAUUUCCAAUAAAGCUGAACCUGUA